rnacentral:rRNA from 1 species
CCUACGGGGGGCUGCAGUGAGGAAUAUUGGUCAAUGGGCGCGAGCCUGAACCAGCCAAGUCGCGUGAGGGAAGACGGCCCUACGGGUUGUAAACCUCUUUUGCCGGGGAGCAACGGGCGCCACGUGUGGCGCCACUGAGAGUACCCGGAGAAAAAGAAUCGGCUAACUCCGUGCCAGCAGCCGCGGUAAUACGGAGGAUGCGAGCUUUAUCCGGUUUUAUGGGGUUUAAAGGGUGCGUAGGCGGAGCGUUAAGUCAGUGGUAAAAUUGAGGGGCUCAACCCCUUCCCGCCAUGGAAACUGGCGGUCUGGAGUGGAAGAGAAGUAUGCGGAAUGCGUGGUGUAGCGGUGAAAUGCAUAGAUAUCACGCAGAACCCCGAUUGCGAAGGCAGCAUGCCGGCUUCCUACUGACGCUGAAGCACGAAGGCGUGGGGAUCGAACAGGAUUAGAUACCCCUGUAGUC